rnacentral:rRNA from 1 species
AACGAACGCUGGCGGCAGGCCUAACACAUGCAAGUCGAACGCCCCGCAAGGGGAGUGGCGCACGGGUGAGCAAUACGCGGGAACGUACCCAGCAGUACGGAAUAACCCAGGGAAACCUGGGCUAAUACCGUAUACGUCCUUAGGGAGAAAGAUUUAUCGCUGUUGGAGCGGCCCACGUCGGAUUAGCUAGUUGGUGAGGUAAUGGCCCACCAAGGCUACGAUCCGUAGCUGGUCUGAGAGGACGACCAGCCACACUGGGACUGAGACACGGCCCAGACUCCUACGGGAGGCAGCAGUGGGGAACAUUGGGCAAUGGGGGCAACCCUGAUCCAGCCAUGCCGCGUGAGUGAUGAAGGCCUUAGGGUUGUAAAGCUCUUUCGGCGGGGACGAUAAUGACGGUACCCGCAGAAGAAGCCCCGGCUAACUCCGUGCCAGCCGCCGCCGUAACAC